rnacentral:lncRNA from 1 species
UGGGAGCGCGGGCGGGGCGGGCGCGCGGCGGCCGGUCACGUUUCUGCCCGUAUGAAGCCCGAGCCGGGACGCACCGGGCCGGCGGGACGCGCCGCGCGCGGAAUAUAUUGAUGACACUUUAAUAUUUGGAAAGACCAUGAUUAGUACAUUCAUUGAGGUGUGACUUCAGUUUUCUGCAGAAAGUGAACCUGGUUCAACUUGGUUUGCCUCCCGUAUCACAGGUGUGUUCCUACAGCAGGGUUUUCACUUCUUCAUAAUAUUUGAAGUCU